GCUCAGAUUGAACGCUGGCGGCGUGCCUAAUACAUGCAAGUCGAGCGGACAGAAGGGAACCUUGCUCCCCGGAUUUUAGGCGGCGGACGGGGUGAGUUACCACGUGGGUAACCUGCCUGUAAGACUGGGAUAACUCCGGGAAAUCGGAGCUAAUACCGGAUAGUUCCUUGAACCGCAUGGUUCAAGGAUGAAAGACGGUUUCGGCUGUCACUUACAGAUGGACCCGCGGCGCAUUAGCUAGUUGGUGAGGUAACGGCUCACCAAGGCGACGAUGCGUAGCCGACCUGAGAGGGUGAUCGGCCACACUGGGACUGAGACACGGCCCAGACUCCUACGGGAGGCAGCAGUAGGGAAUCUUCCGCAAUGGACGAAAGUCUGACGGAGCAACGCCGCGUGAGUGAUGAAGGUUUUCGGAUCGUAAAGCUCUGUUGUUAGGGAAGAACAAGUGCAAGAGUAACUGCUUGCACCUUGACGGUACCUAACCAGAAAGCCACGGCUAACUACGUGCCAGCAGCCGCGGUAAUACGUAGGUGGCAAGCGUUGUCCGGAAUUAUUGGGCGUAAAGGGCUCGCAGGCGGUUUCUUAAGUCUGAUGUGAAAGCCCCCGGCUCAACCGGGGAGGGUCAUUGGAAACUGGGAAACUUGAGUGCAGAAGAGGAGAGUGGAAUUCCACGUGUAGCGGUGAAAUGCGUAGAGAUGUGGAGGAACACCAGUGGCGAAGGCGACUCUCUGGUCUGUAACUGACGCUGAGGAGCGAAAGCGUGGGGAGCGAACAGGAUUAGAUACCCUGGUAGUCCACGCCGUAAACGAUGAGUGCUAAGUGUUAGGGGGUUUCCGCCCCUUAGUGCUGCAGCUAACGCAUUAAGCACUCCGCCUGGGGAGUACGGUCGCAAGACUGAAACUCAAAGGAAUUGACGGGGGCCCGCACAAGCGGUGGAGCAUGUGGUUUAAUUCGAAGCAACGCGAAGAACCUUACCAGGUCUUGACAUCCUCUGACAACCCUAGAGAUAGGGCUUUCCCUUCGGGGACAGAGUGACAGGUGGUGCAUGGUUGUCGUCAGCUCGUGUUGUGAAAUGU
rnacentral:rRNA from 1 species